rnacentral:rRNA from 1 species
AGACCUGGCGGCAGCUUACCAUGCAAGUCGAGCGGUAACAUUUCUAGCUUGCUAGAAGAUGACGAGCGGCGGACGGGUGAGUAAUACUUAGGAAUCUACCUAGUAGUGGGGGAUAGCUCGGGGAAACUCGAAUUAAUACCGCAUACGACCUACGGGAGAAAGGGGGCAACUUGUUGCUCUCGCUAUUAGAUGAGCCUAUGUCGGAUUAGCUAGAUGGUGGGGUAAAGGCCUACCAUGGCGACGAUCUGUAGCUGGUCUGAGAGGAUGAUCAGCCACACCGGGACUGAGACACGGCCCGGACUCCUACGGGAGGCAGCAGUGGGGAAUAUUGGACAAUGGGGGAAACCCUGAUCCAGCCAUGCCGCGUGUGUGAAGAAGGCCUUUUGGUUGUAAAGCACUUUAAGCAGUGAAGAAGACUCUUCGGUUAAUACCCGGAGACGAUGACAUUAGCUGCAGAAUAAGCACCGGCUAACUCUGUGCCAGCAGCCGCGGUAAU